GAUGAACGCUGGCGGCGUGCCUAAUACAUGCAAGUCGAACGCUUCACAUAUGUGAAGAGUGGCGAACGGGUGAGUAAUACAUAAGUAACCUGGCCUUUACAGGGGGAUAACUAUUGGAAACGAUAGCUAAGACCGCAUAGGUGUGCAGAUCGCAUGAAGUGCACAUGAAAUAUGCUACGGCAUAGGUAGAGGAUGGACUUAUGGCGCAUUAGCUAGUUGGAGGGGUAACGGCCCACCAAGGCGACGAUGCGUAGCCGACCUGAGAGGGUGACCGGCCACACUGGGACUGAGACACGGCCCAGAAUCCUACGGGAGGCAGCAGUAGGGAAUUUUCGGCAAUGGGGGAAACCCUGACCGAGCAACGCCGCGUGAAGGAAGAAGUAAUUCGUUAUGUAAACUUCUGUCAUAGAGGAAGAACGGUGCGUGUAGGGAAUGACAUGCAAGUGACGGUACUCUAUAAGAAAGCCACGGCUAACUACGUGCCAGCAGCCGCGGUAA
rnacentral:rRNA from 1 species